rnacentral:misc_RNA from 1 species
GCUAACUAAAUGUAAAUGAAUAUUUUCCUUGUUAGUAAUUUACAGGGGAACCUAAUUUAAGCUCCAACAUUCAUCUAAAUUUGCAUUGAGCCUGUGUUUUCAAAGAGAUUUUAAAAGAAGGGGGGGAAAUUUUUUAGGAAUUUCCUAUACUAUGCUCUAUAAUUAAGCAAAUAUUUUGUUAAUCAGACAACUUCCAAGCCAUUAUAUCUUGUUCUUGUUCCCCGUGGUGAGUGAAUUUCUUCCAUGUCACCCUUUGUCUGGUUAUUAGGCUUAUUUUCUUCAACUUUUCCUCUCAUCAAAUGGGGUCUAAGCUUGUUCAUAUCUGAUAAUUGAACUGGCUUCAGGAAGAAUUCUCCAGCUCCUUCUUCCAAGCAUCUAUCAAUUCUUGAUGGAACAUUCUCUGAGGACAUGAUCACAACUGGUAUGUCCUUAAAAGUUUUAGAUUCCUUGAUCUUUCUAAGGAGAUCAUAGCCCGUCAUCCCGGGCAUACAGUAAUCUGUAAUGAUCAAAUUUACUUCAACAUCCUGAUGAUGAUGAUGAUGAUGGUCUGAAGAAACAGAAGUCAGGAUUGAAUCUGUGUGUUCAUCUUCAUUCAAACCCAAAAACUCCAAGGCCUUACUUCCUGAAUCAACCGCAGUAACAUGAUAAGAAGAGGUUUUAAGGAGCCUUUCAAUCAACUUUCUGUCAAUGAGACUGUCAUCAACAGCAAGAACAUGGAACUGAUGAGACUCAGCAGCCAUACCGAUAGUAAUUGCAAGAAAGAUGAACACCGAGAAAUUAAAGAGGAGGAGAAAUCAUGAAGAGAGAAGAGAAGGUAGGAGAGUUUUAAAUGGGACGGCAUAGGGAUACGAAUCCUGUAGGAAAUCUAGACAAUUUGGAAAGCAAGAUCCGGCAGAUUUCAUUCAGAAUCUCCUGGAUCUUCUAGGUUGAUUUUUGAAUUAGACAACAAGCAAAUAAGGCGGUGGUCUUCUU